rnacentral:rRNA from 1 species
GAACCUGAAACCGUGUGCUUACAAGUAGUCAGAGCCCGUUAAUGGGUGAUGGCGUGCCUUUUGUAGAAUGAACCGGCGAGUUACGAUUUGAUGCAAGGUUAAGCAGUAAAUGUGGAGCCGUAGCGAAAGCGAGUCUGAAUAGGGCGUUUAGUAUUUGGUCGUAGACCCGAAACCAGGUGAUCUACCCUUGGUCAGGUUGAAGUUCAGGUAACACUGAAUGGAGGACCGAACCGACUUACGUUGAAAAGUGAGCGGAUGAACUGAGGGUAGCGGAGAAAUUCCAAUCGAACCUGGAGAUAGCUGGUUCUCUCCGAAAUAGCUUUAGGGCUAGCCUCAAGUGAUGAUUAUUGGAGGUAGAGCACUGUUUGGACGAGGGGCCCCUCUCGGGUUACCGAAUUCAGACAAACUCCGAAUGCCAAUUAAUUUAACUUGGGAGUCAGAACAUGGGUGAUAAGGUCCGUGUUCGAAAGGGAAACAGCCCAGACCACCAGCUAAGGUCCCAAAAUAUAUGUUAAGUGGAAAAGGAUGUGGCGUUGCCCAGACAACUAGGAUGUUGGCUUAGAAGCAGCCAUCAUUUAAAGAGUGCGUAAUAGCUCACUAGUCGAGUGACACUGCGCCGAAAAUGUACCGGGGCUAAACAUAUUACCGAAGCUGUGGAUUGUCCUUUGGACAAUGGUAGGAGAGCGUUCUAAGGGCGUUGAAGCAUGAUCGUAAGGACAUGUGGAGCGCUUAGAAGUGAGAAUGCCGGUGUGAGUAGCGAAAGACGGGUGAGAAUCCCGUCCACCGAUUGACUAAGGUUUCCAGAGGAAGGCUCGUCCGCUCUGGGUUAGUCGGGUCCUAAGCUGAGGCCGACAGGCGUAGGCGAUGGAUAACAGGUUGAUAUUCCUGUACCACCUAUAAUCGUUUUAAUCGAUGGGGGGACGCAGUAGGAUAGGCGAAGCGUGCGAUUGGAUUGCACGUCUAAGCAGUAAGGCUGAGUAUUAGGCAAAUCCGGUACUCAUUAAGGCUGAGCUGUGAUGGGGAGAAGACAUUGUGUCUUCGAGUCGUUGAUUUCACACUGCCGAGAAAAGCCUCUAGAUAGAAAAUAGGUGCCCGUACCGCAAACCGACACAGGUAGUCAAGAUGAGAAUUCUAAGGUGAGCGAGCGAACUCUCGUUAAGGAACUCGGCAAAAUGACCCCGUAACUUCGGGAGAAGGGGUGCUCUUUAGGGUUAACGCCCAGAAGAGCCGCAGUGAAUAGGCCCAAGCGACUGUUUAUCAAAAACACAGGUCUCUGCUAAACCGUAAGGUGAUGUAUAGGGGCUGACGCCUGCCCGGUGCUGGAAGGUUAAGAGGAGUGGUUAGCUUCUGCGAAGCUACGAAUCGAAGCCCCAGUAAACGGCGGCCGUAACUAUAACGGUCCUAAGGUAGCGAAAUUCCUUGUCGGGUAAGUUCCGACCCGCACGAAAGGCGUAACGAUUUGGGCACUGUCUCAACGAGAGACUCGGUGAAAUCAUAGUACCUGUGAAGAUGCAGGUUACCCGCGACAGGACGGAAAGACCCCGUGGAGCUUUACUGUAGCCUGAUAUUGAAAUUCGGCACAGCUUGUACAGGAUAGGUAGGAGCCUUUGAAACGUGAGCGCUAGCUUACGUGGAGGCGCUGGUGGGAUACUACCCUAGCUGUGUUGGCUUUCUAACCCGCACCACUUAUCGUGGUGGGAGACAGUGUCAGGCGGGCAGUUUGACUGGGGCGGUCGCCUCCUAAAAGGUAACGGAGGCGCUCAAAGGUUCCCUCAGAAUGGUUGGAAAUCAUUCAUAGAGUGUAAAGGCAUAAGGGAGCUUGACUGCGAGACCUACAAGUCGAGCAGGGUCGAAAGACGGACUUAGUGAUCCGGUGGUUCCGCAUGGAAGGGCCAUCGCUCAACGGAUAAAAGCUACCCCGGGGAUAACAGGCUUAUCUCCCCCAAGAGUUCACAUCGACGGGGAGGUUUGGCACCUCGAUGUCGGCUCAUCGCAUCCUGGGGCUGUAGUCGGUCCCAAGGGUUGGGCUGUUCGCCCAUUAAAGCGGUACGCGAGCUGGGUUCAGAACGUCGUGAGACAGUUCGGUCCCUAUCCGUCGUGGGCGUAGGAAAUUUGAGAGGAGCUGUCCUUAGUACGAGAGGACCGGGAUGGACAUACCUCUGGUGUACCAGUUGUCGUGCCAACGGCAUAGCUGGGUAGCUAUGUGUGGACGGGAUAAGUGCUGAAAGCAUCUAAGCAUGAAGCCCCCCUCAAGAUGAGAUUUCCCAACUUCGGUUAUAAGAUCCCUCAAAGAUGAUGAGGUUAAUAGGUUCGAGGUGGAAGCAUGGUGACAUGUGGAGCUGACGAAUACUAA